AUUAAGACUGGGCUUUUCCUGUAAUGGGCACCAUUUCAGUGCCACAGUAACAGCCAGGAUGUGGAUUUCUACCUUCCUUCUUAGAGAGGGUGGCCAGGCGCAGUGGCUCACGCUUGUAAUCCCAGCACUUUGGAAGAUGGAGACGGGCAGAUUACCUGAGGUCAGGAGUUCAAGACCAGCCUGGUCAACAUGGCAAAACCCCGUCUCUACUAAAAAUGCAAAAAUUAGCCAGAUGUGGUGGUGCUCACCUGUAGUCCAAGCUACUCAGGAGGCUGACACAGAAGAAUUGCUUGAACCCGGGAGGCGGAAGUUUCAGUGAGCCGAGAUCGCGCCACUGCAUGCACUCCAGCCUGGGCAACAGAGCAAGACUCCGUCUCAAAAAUAAAUAAAUAAAUAAAUAAAUAAAUAAAUAAAAUGUUUCAGGUUCUCUCUUGUCUCCAAACCAUUGCUAAUGCUAUUUCCAUGUCUGAUGUUCCAAGGAAAAUAUUAUUUCCUCUAGAAAGCCCGACUGCCUCUCAGAUUUGUUAGGUGCUUUCCUACUGCACCCUGUCAGAGCACAAAAUGGUAAUCGCAGUUUGUCUGUCCCCCUUAUUAGUCUUUAAGCGAAUUAGACUUUAAAUUCUAAAAGCAGCUAUCAGAUCUGUCUUGGUCCUCAUUGUAUUCCUAGGACCUUGCUGUAGAGUGGGUGCUAAUAAAUAUUUUUGUUAAGUGAAUGAAUGUAUGUAUGAAUUGCUUUGGCUCUAACUGGAAUUUGUCUAUACCAUGGAUCGUGGAUGCUUUGUCUAUGGCUUAUAAUAUCAAUUGUUCCAUUUUGACUUAUUUCAUUCCUAGAAAAUUUGUCCUAUGCUUUGUUAUUUAUAAUCACAUUAAUGAUUUAUUUCAGAAUAUACUGUAAUAUAAAAAAUGAUGCAUGCUAAAUAAAAUCUGGCAGGUUUUUUUUUUUCCCCACCAUUAGGAAGGAAAUGGAGGUGUAAAUAC
rnacentral:lncRNA from 10 species